UCGUUCUGUAUCAACACAGCCCAGAUAGCAGGCAGAGUGAGCAGAAGGUUGAUGGGUGAGGAAGAAUCAUGACAUUGCCCACCCACCAAACACACCCUUGACACCCAGAGCGGACCCAGUGGUUCCCUCUAGUCAGCCAGCCCCUCACCAGGUCCUGACACCAUCCAGAAGUUACACACUCAGAAGAGAUGCAGCCCACACCCAGCCAGCACCCUCUUCCAGGAAGGACUGGGCAGGCUUCUUCUUAACUGAAGCUUGGCUUUGUGGCUACCUGGCCAUAGGCUUCUGAGCCAGACAUCAACAACCGUGCAAUCUGUGCAGAGGCCCCUGAAGAUUCAGAGACUGGGAAUGAGGUUGGAAACAGUUCAGCACCUCAGCGGGCCAACCACAGUAGGACAAAGGAGCCAAAGC
rnacentral:lncRNA from 1 species